rnacentral:rRNA from 1 species
AUUGAACGCUGGCGGCAGGCCUAACACAUGCAAGUCGAACGAGUGGCGGACGGGUGAGUAAUGUCUGGGAAACUGCCUGAUGGAGGGGGAUAACUACUGGAAACGGUAGCUAAUACCGCAUACCAUUAACUGUGCCCAGGUGGGAUUCGCGAGUGGGUGGGGAAACGGCUCACCAAGGCCACGAUCCCUAGCUGGUCUGAGAGGAUGACCAGCCAAACUGGAACUGAGACACGGUCCAGACUCCUACGGGAGGCAGCAGUGGGGAAUAUUGCACAAUGGGCGAAAGCCUGAUGCAGCCAUGCCGCGUGUAUGAAGAAGGCCGUCGGGUUGUAAAGUACUUUCAGCGGGGAGGCGUUACCCGCAGAAGAAGCACCGGCUAACUCCGUGCCAGCAGCCGCGGUAAUAC